rnacentral:rRNA from 1 species
GGAAAGUNUGGAGUAAAAGGCUAUGGCUCAACCAUAGUGUGNUCUGGAAACUGUCUGACUUGAGUGCAGAAGGGGAGAGUGGAAUUCCAUGUGUAGCGGUGAAAUGCGUAGAUAUAUGGAGGANCACCAGUGGCGAAAGCGGCUCUCUGGUCUGUCACUGACGCUGAGGCUCGAAAGCGUGGGUAGCGAACAGGAUUAGAUACCCUGGUAGUNCACGCCGUAAACGAUGAGUGCUAGGUGUUAGGCCCUUUCCGGGGCUUAGUGCCGGAGCUAACGCAAUAAGCACUCCGCCUGGGGAGUACGACCGCAAGGUUGAAACUCAAAGGAAUUGACGGGGGCCCGCACAAGCGGUGGAGCAUGUGGUUUAAUUCGAAGCAACGCGAAGAACCUUACCAGGUCUUGACAUCCCGAUGCUAUUCUUAGAGAUAGGAAGUUACUUCGGUACAUCGGAGACAGGUGGUGCAUGGUUGUCGUCAGCUCGUGUCGUGAGAUGUUGGGUUAAGUCCCGCAACGAGCGCAACCCUUAUUGUUAGUUGCCAUCAUUAAGUUGGGCACUCUAGCGAGACUGCCGGUAAUAAACCGGAGGAAGGUGGGGAUGACGUCAAAUCAUCAUGCCCCUUAUGACCUGGGCUACACACGUGCUACAAUGGUCGGUACAACGAGUUGCGAGCCGGUGACGGCAAGCUAAUCUCUGAAAGCCGAUCUCAGUUCGGAUUGGAGGCUGCAACUCGCCUCCAUAAAGUCGGAAUCGCUAGUAAUCGCGGAUCAGCACGCCGCGGUGAAUACGUUCCCGGGCCUUGUACACACCGCCCGUCACACCACGAGAGUUUGUAACACCCGAAGUCGGUGAGGUAACCUUUUAGGGGCCAGCCG